UAAUAGCUCACUGGUCGAGUCGGCCUGCGCGGAAGAUGUAACGGGGCUAAACCAUGCACCGAAGCUGCGGCAGCGACACGUAUGUGUUGUUGGGUAGGGGAGCGUUCUGUAAGCCUGUGAAGGUGUGCUGUGAGGCAUGCUGGAGGUAUCAGAAGUGCGAAUGCUGACAUAAGUAACGAUAAAGCGGGUGAAAAGCCCGCUCGCCGGAAGACCAAGGGUUCCUGUCCAACGUUAAUCGGGGCAGGGUGAGUCGACCCCUAAGGCGAGGCCGAAAGGCGUAGUCGAUGGGAAACAGGUUAAUAUUCCUGUACUUGGUGUUACUGCGAAGGGGGGACGGAGAAGGCUAUGUCGGCCGGGCGACGGUUGUCCCGGUUUAAGCGUGUAGGCUGACUUUCCAGGCAAAUCCGGAAGGUUAAGGCUGAGGCGUGAUGACGAGGCACCACGGUGCUGAAGUGACAAAUGCCCUGCUUCCAGGAAAAGCCUCUAAGCAUCAGGUAACAUCAAAUCGUACCCCAAACCGACACAGGUGGUCAGGUAGAGAAUACCAAGGCGCUUGAGAGAACUCGGGUGAAGGAACUAGGCAAAAUGGUGCCGUAACUUCGGGAGAAGGCACGCUGACAUGUAGGUGAAGCCCCUGCGGGUGGAGCUGAAGUCAGUCGAAGAUACCAGCUGGCUGCAACUGUUUAUUAAAAACACAGCACUGUGCAAACACGAAAGUGGACGUAUACGGUGUGACGCCUGCCCGGUGCCGGAAGGUUAAUUGAUGGGGUUAUCGCAAGAGAAGCUCCUGAUCGAAGCCCCGGUAAACGGCGGCCGUAACUAUAACGGUCCUAAGGUAGCGAAAUUCCUUGUCGGGUAAGUUCCGACCUGCACGAAUGGCGUAAUGAUGGCCAGGCUGUCUCCACCCGAGACUCAGUGAAAUUGAACUCGCUGUGAAGAUGCAGUGUACCCGCGGCAAGACGGAAAGACCCCGUGAACCUUUACUACAGCUUGACACUGAACAUUGAGCCUUGAUGUGUAGGAUAGGUGGGAGGCUUUGAAGCGUGGACGCCAGUCUGCGUGGAGCCGACCUUGAAAUACCACCCUUUAAUGUUUGAUGUUCUAACCUGGCGCCGUGAUCCGGCGUGGGGACAGUGUCUGGUGGGUAGUUUGACUGGGGCGGUCUCCUCCCAAAGUGUAACGGAGGAGCACGAAGGUCAGCUAAUCCUGGUCGGACAUCAGGAGGUUAGUGCAAUGGCAUAAGCUGGCUUGACUGCGAGAGUGACGGCUCGAGCAGGUGCGAAAGCAGGUCAUAGUGAUCCGGUGGUUCUGUAUGGAAGGGCCAUCGCUCAACGGAUAAAAGGUACUCCGGGGAUAACAGGCUGAUACCGCCCAAGAGUUCAUAUCGACGGCGGUGUUUGGCACCUCGAUGUCGGCUCAUCACAUCCUGGGGCUGAAGUAGGUCCCAAGGGUAUGGCUGUUCGCCAUUUAAAGUGGUACGCGAGCUGGGUUUAGAACGUCGUGAGACAGUUCGGUCCCUAUCUGCCGUGGGCGCUGGAGAAUUGAGGGGGGCUGCUCCCAGUACGAGAGGACCGGAGUGGACGCAUCACUGGUGUUCGGGUUGUCAUGCCAAUGGCACUGCCCGGUAGCUAAAUGCGGAAGAGAUAAGUGCUGAAAGCAUCUAAGCACGAAACUUGCCCCG
rnacentral:rRNA from 1 species